rnacentral:rRNA from 1 species
UGGGGAAUAUUGCACAAUGGAGGGAACUCUGAUGCAGCGACGCCGCGUGAGUGAUGAAGGAAUUCGUUUCGUAAAACUCUGUUCUAUGGGAAGAAAAGGACUGUACCAUAGGAGAAAGCUCCGGCUAAAUACGUGCCAGCAGCCGCGGUAAUACGUAUGGAGCGAGCGUUGUCCGGAAUUAUUGGGCGUAAAGGGUGCGCAGGCGGCUUUACAAGUUGGAUGUGAAAUAUUGUGGCUCAACCACAAACGUGCAUCCAAAACUGCAAAGCUUGAGUUAAGGAGAGGUAAGUGGAAUUCCUGGUGUAGCGGUGGAAUGCGUAGAUAUCAGGAGGAAUAACGGUGGCGAAGGCGACUUACUGGACUUAAACUGACGCUCAGGCACGAAAGCGUGGGGAGCAAACAGG